UGAGGAACAUGACUUUCGGCGGGGGAGUAGCCGGCCCAACGGCCGGGUAAUACCGCGUACGACCUUUCGGGGACAUCCCCGGUUGGUGAAAGCAGCAAUGCACCGAAAGAGUGCCUCGCGGCCUAUCAGCUAGUUGGUGAGGUAACGGCUCACCAAGGCGACGACGGGUAGCUGGUCUGAGAGGAUGGCCAGCCACAUUGGGACUGAGACACGGCCCAGACCUCCUACGGGGAGCAG
rnacentral:rRNA from 1 species